UUUGUUUUUUGCACCUGACAGAAGUCUCAGUAAUGAUAGGUUUUAAGCCAAUUAUUAUUCACAUAUCUCUGUGCAAAUCAGAGAGGUUUCCCACAGACAAACCAGUUACCCAGCACGGCCUAGGUUGUGAAAUACGCACUUGGCUAAGAGCUUUGCCUCACUAACGACCUUGGAAUAUGACCUUUAAUUCUGAACGUGUGUCUGUACAAACAAGCCAUCACAAUUUGUCUGCACUGUGCUCGUCACAAAAACCAUCCAUACAGAAAGGACCUGGAGCUGAAUGGUCCCCAGCCGGCUUCAUUGCGCAAUUGUACAAACACCGGUGCCAGCACAAAUAAGGGACGAUGAAAUAGCCAGUGCUGCUGGCCAGGUUUCUUCUCUCUGCACUGCUAGCUUGGCUAGCUGAAGCCAUCCACAAAUGCAUGUGGGACACCUGCUCCUAUUCAGUGAACAUAAAACCCUGAGAUUGUUAUUUGGAUUCUCCUGCCAUUCUGCACAGAUCCCAGUAUCGGCUCACUUGUGCUGCACUUUGCUUAAUUUCCGUGUGCUGCGUGCUUUUUAAUUCAUCCCUGGAUGCAUUCAAGGCCAGGCUGGAUGUGGCUCUGGGCAGCCUGGUCUGGUGGUUGGAGACCCUGCCAGUUGCAGGGGGAUUGAAACUGGGUGAUCAUUGUGGUCCUUUUCAACCCAGGCCUUUCUAUGAUUCAGUGAUUCCAUGAUUCUAAAUAUUCACAUGGCACUAUCUGGAGGAGAGUGCUUCAGAAGAGAAUGAGCCUAUAACACCAAAUCAUCUCCUGCUGAGCACCACCAAAGCACCACAACCUUGAAUGAUGGAUGGGCCGAUUUUGUGUUACUUAUGUUGCCCUAAAGGCUGCAUUUCGAAACUUGAAAUGUAUGGAUUAGAAAAGCUGACAACUCGUUCUGCUCAAGCUGUUUAAUAGCUCUGCACAGAUCCUGUUUCAAAAGCUUGCUUUCAAGGGAGGGAAUAUAUCCAACUUGCAGAGACCAACUUCCUUCUCAGUUUAGGGAUAACACGGCGGGCUAUCUGGCUGAAAAACUGUUCAGAAGAUAUUUUGGGGGAGCAAGUCAGCAGCGAUAGCAUCGUUCAUUGCAGCACCACACUUUCUUUGCUUCUCAGAGUUGCACCAAAUGAAUACAGUGUGCUCUACAAAUUGCAGAGCCCUUCCAGGAAAUCUGAGUUGAACGUGAAGAACUGAGUUUGAAAUAUGUUCCGCUAAUAAACAGUUGCAUAAAAAACUUAAAUAUGUGCAGCCAAGUGAUUUGCUGAAGGUGUUUUAGAAUGAAAAUACCUUUUUGUUUGCUCAACUGAAACUACGUUGCUCCAAAUGACCUCAUGUUCUUUAUUUCUAAGCCCACCAGCCCUGCACUGAGGCUCAACAUACUGCAAGAUGCCGGACUUACCAGAGGAAGAUAGUCAGUAACUUAUUAUAUUAGCUUUACAUACAGUACUCUUGAUUUUUGGCAAUAGUAGCUGCAUGGCAAAUCCUGCCUGUCACUGCAGUGAGCCAUGCUGAGAAAACUGCCUGUGUGAUGAGGGGACUGUAAAGUGCUCCAUGUGGGGGCUGCACUCAGAAGACAGAGCUCGUGGCAGAGGAAGCAAUCUGUUUGCUACAUUCUGUUUCACACAGGUAACACCUCACGCUGCUGUUUUCAGCCUGCACUAGGUUUUGACUCGUUACCUGAUGAUGGCUGAAGUGUUAUUUUGCAGCUAAUUGCUUACAGCCUGGCUACCAGAUAAAGACUUCUCUAAUGCAACAGUACAGCCAUAGGGAUUUGGCAGAGAAACAUGAAGGUUGGUAUGGACAAAGUAUGAUUGGCAGUGUACGAGUGCAAAAUCAUCAAGAAAAACAAGAAGGGCUAAAGGAGGGGCAGGAGCAGAUGUGCCAAAAUCAGAAGGUCACCAGGAUUGCAGCAUACGCUGUGCAGCUUCUCAAGGACCUGGCUCUGGAAAACCUCAGGCUGCCUUCUGGUGAGCCUCCUGAUGAAGGCAGCUUGGCUCCAGCUCUCUCUCCUAGUGGACCUUGGACCUACCCUGUGGCUUUGUCUUCAGCCCUACAGUGGUGGCCAAAGGUGGACCUUAGACCUGUUUUGCAGCCUUGUCUCAGCCUUCCCUCUGGUCCCAUCUCCUGUUGCUUCUGGGUGGACCAUGGAGUCCAUUAGCUGACCUGCCUAGUUUGGACUCUGGACCUGAUUAAUUUGCCUCAAUGGGACUGUUUGUGGACUCUAUUAUCAUAAUCACUAUCUAUUAUCUGAAGGACUGCGCCCAGCUGGUGAAGGCACUGCCUGUGCUUGGUCAGCAGCUCCUGGCUUGUACCAGUGCAAGUCAUGCAUGUAUGUGGCCGUGCACAUCUCCAGCUUCAUGCAUAUGAAAGGAAAGGUUAGAAAUGUUAGGAAAUGUUAGAAAUGUUAGGAAAGGUUAGAAAUGGCCUAUAAGAGAAAGUGAGUGAAAUCAGUUUAAAAUCAAACUUCUCUACCUAGGCUGUUUUGCAUCAUACUUGGAUACACUGGCUAAACAUAAGCAGUGGAAAUACAGAAUGUAGUACUCUGAUUUGAUGGAGAGGUGAAGGUAUGUUCUGUCCUUGAUUCUGUACCUUGUUCCCUGAUUAUAUACAAAAGAGAUUGGAUUUGUUAAAUUGGAGUAUGGGGGCACUCGGUAAUCUGGACAUGAGUUUCUUUAGGAGAAAAGAGGUUGAGAUUAAGAGGUGUAAUAGUGAGAGAGCAGAAGAAUUUCGAGAAGCAGUUCAUUUUUGAGAUUGCUUUCAUUUGGCAGCUUAUUGUAUUUUUAUUUUCACAUAUAACGUAGUACAGAUCAGUAGAAUCAGCCAGGAUCCCGACUUUCAGGAAUGCCAUGGUCCUGAUGGAGAUCUUCCAGUCAGGCUUGUUUGGGAAAUAAAUCCAAAUAUUUCAGUUGCAAAGAAGAUGCUUUGGCUCCAAAGCAAUAUGAGAAAAUGUACAAUCUAUUUGAUCCGCUUCAGAUGCCACAACCAUCUGCAACUGCAUGUGGCAAACACGUGUUUCUCAGAUUCACGGGCAUGUGUGAUUGCAAAGAGAGCUGAAUACUUGCAGCAAAAUAGAUAAAGCUUUGGUAUGCUCCUUUUGUUAUGUAGUUAUCUCUCAGCAGCUCUCCGCGGAAAGAUCUCCUCCUUGAGGACUCUGGAGGGUUCGAAUCCCACAGUCAAGUGAUGCAGAGCCUUUCAAGGCAAGACACUGUGUAGAAAAGUGCCUGUCAAGCAGCCAGCGCGAACAACAAGGGCUGGCACCGGGGAAGGGUCACAGAUGCCUGUUCGAAUGUGCUAUUGUGCAACAUCGCCGCCUACUGCGGGCUCCAGCUGCUGCUAUAGUAAAGGCACCAGCGCCAUCUGCCUUCCCAAACCCAACUCAAUCAAGAAGAAAAGGUCCUCAUGGAGGACUCCUAUGGGCUACCGCCUUCGUUUCUAAACUUCACCUUUCUAAUAUCCAUCGUUGUUCUUAAUUCUUACACCUUACGUGUUUCUUUGCUCUCGAGUAGAAAGCACAAACUGAUGAGCGGUGACAUGGGCUGGUGGGUGUGUGCCACUGCACUGCAUCCUCCCGUGUGAUACGGAGAGAGGGCAAAGGAGCUUCACAGUAAGCACCCACGCAGCCGUCUCUGUACGUACAUGCAUGUGCUCACAGCCGCUCCAUUGGGCUGUCCUUUCCAUGCAUCGGAAGUAGCAUUUUCACAUAGUCGGUAUUUGCACCGUCUCUUAGAUGGGAGCUCAGAUGGAAUGCAGGCAGCAGCUUUGGUUAUAGGUGGCUUCUAGGGCAGGGAGCUUCCCAGCACUGAACGAUGGAUCAGUGGGAAGCUGCCUGUUGAAUCAGGACGGCUGUCUCACAGUCCAGGUUUUCUAUCAGGGACAUUCUCCCCAGAGGCUCAUGUUUCCCCAGCAACCUAUAUCAGCCUAAUCUCCAUCACAGAGGAAAGCCUCCGUUGCUUUGCAGCCUUUCCUACGUUGUUCUUAUUAACUCAGUAUCAUCUGGGCACUAUAUUUGCACUUCAGUGUUUCAAUACUGCUUUUUCACAUUUGUUUAGUUUGUUGACUUUUGGUUUUUUUUCUUUGCCUUCCUGUUAGCAGCUUUGGGAAGGAGGAUACACUUAUAAAACAAUCUUUUCUUUGGAUCAUAUUUUCAGAAUUCUACCUACUCUCUCUCUAUAUGUAUGCACAUACCACAUCAUAGGCAUUUUAGUUUUGUAUUUCCUAUAUGCUUUUGUGGGCUUUUUGACAUAUUUAAGCAACUCUUGUUACUUUUGGUAAUGAAAGUAUUAAAUAGACUAAACAACUAAAUUAAACAUAAUAGCUUUCUCUUUUCCUAUUCUUAUUUCUUCUACAGUUAAAAGAACACUUUGCAAAUACAGCUAUUCCUUCAGCUGUUUUUACUCAGAAUCAUCACCCUCCAGUUCUGGCAGAUCUGAUUUCAUUCUUCCUUUUCCCUCUAAGAUGUACUUCCAUCAGUAGCGUCCUUACUUACUAGGGAGUCCACAGGACCCAGUUCUUCACCCCUGUGAUGGAGUUCACCCACUGACUUUAGUGCUCACAUGCAGGCUCAGAGCGCUGCAUGGCUGACUGCUGGGUGAGGCGCAGAUUUGUGUGCACCUGCAGUUGUCCUGAAACAAACCAAGGCAGUUGUUUGGAAAUCUGUCUCAAAGAGUAGUGAAGUUUGUUUCUUGGUGUCUUGUGUGUUUCUGUCUCCCAAAUACAGGAAUUUAAAAGUAAUGUUUUGUGAAAUACGUUGUUUUUUAAUAUAUGCAGUUUAGAUCAGCAGUAACUUUAGAUCACCUACAGAGGAAUUUGUAUUCUCUGAAUUACCUUGCAUUCCUUGUAAGGGAGCUGUGCCCUUCCACGUCCAGCUGAGCCAUUAAACAAUGAACUUCUCUAGUUAAACCUCUUCCAUUAACACAUUUAAGUACCUAAAAGAUAGCAAAGAUACGAGUGAGAUUACAUUGUCUAGAAUAAAUCAUGUCAAACAAGGUCAUUUCCCACUCUGAUGAGGUAGCACUGUUUAUAGCAGAAAAGCAGGUGCAGAUAUCUUGUUUUUAGGAGGACUUCUAACACUGUCUCACAGGAAUGGUGGUCUCACAAGCAAGCUGUAGGAAAUCUUGAAUGGAAGAGUGCAUGGUUGGGUGUAGAACUGGACUUAAAGAGUACUUUGCAGGAACACAUUGUUAUCUUGGCCAGACACCAAGCAGAAUUCUACAGGAGUAUUUCCAUAGCGCCAAUUUGACAUUUUCAUCAGAUCAUUUGGAUGGUGUAUAAGAAAAAUUGCUUACCAAACCCACUGCUGGGAGGGGCAGCGAGUGCAGUAGGAUACUGCUGUAGAACUUGGCAAAGUAUGGUCAGGGGGAAAAAGUAAUUCAAAAGACGUACUUUCACUCUUUGCUUUUGGCAGCAUUACCAACAUCCCAGAUGCAGGUUGUGGAAUUACAGGUCUGGUGGCAUCACAAUGUAAACACACUGUGUGGUUAGCAUGGGUCACAAAGCAAGCAGGAGUCAGCCACGUCACACUGUAACAAAAACAUCAAACAGCACCAGGGGAUAUAUAAAAAGAAAGAGCAUUUGACAGGCAGAUGAAGCCAUUCUCCUGUUAUGUUUGGGGCUGGUAAACAUCCCGUUGGUGUACUGUACUCUGCUUUGGCUAGAAUAGAGAAUUAGAAGUGUUGUGAGGAAACACUGGUGGAAAAGUAGUGGUUUGUCCUAAGGAAGGGGAGAUGUGGCAGGGCAUCCCUAAAUAUGCACGCUGUAUUCCUAAGGGAGAGAGCAACAAACGUCUGCUGAAAAGGUUUGGUGGGCAUCAGAGAUCUGGGUUACAGGCUAGAAAAGCUUUCUCAUGGUGCAGUUAAGGAAACAGAGGGAGAGGUUACUAUGGGGCAUGACAGCCUUGUUUUGUUAGUUCUCAAGUACAGAUUGGACACGUUUAUGUCAGGAAUGACCUCAACACGAUUGAUCCUGCUUUUCGGGAAGGAAGGAGACACUCCCCAACCCAGUUUUGCUGACAUUCCUAUUUGGAGCCAAAGACACCUAAGUUAGAAGUCUAAAUUACCCACUGUGAACACCAGCUAAUUAUCAUCCCGAGACUCUUGAUUUCCAUUUCUGUUUAAUAUAUCAUUAGGAAAACAUCUUAGAAGUCAGUAAUUUAACUCCAAAGUAGCUAUAAUGUAGGCUGGCACCAUGCAGUGCAAACUCUAUUCUUUCAAACCUGUGUUUUCCAAGUCCCGGGCUUCCUUUGAGCACACACUGCCAGUUCUGCUGACAUCUAACUGGUUUAUGAUCUAGGGACCCAUCUGCUGGACAUUAGGACGAUCCAGUUUAUCUAAUAAAGGCUUUAUUAGUACACCCACGUAACUUAGUGCAGAAAGGAUGACGGAUGGAAAGAGGAAAGGAUAACUUACACGUAUAUUAUUCAUCCUGAAAAUGCUAAAACUCAGGCUCAGAACAGUCUUUGAUGUUUGACCUCUGCAGAUAGUCUGUAAUUAAGUCUGUAAUCCUCUAAACACUUAAAGUUAAUAGGAUUAACCGUAUGCCUGAAGUGUGUGUGGCCGGUGUGCAAAACUGUCAUAGAGUGCAGCUGAUGAAAAAACUUGUGACAAAGACAUUUUCCAGUGGAAUACUGUCUGCUACUUCCUAAGUAUGUUCUGACCACUUCUAAUCCUCACUAAUUUCCUCACGUGAGAAUGUUUAAUAAAAAUAAAGGUUAACAAAGUUCUUGUUUGCAAAAGCAUUGUACACAGAAACAGCAGAUGGGUGAAGUUUUUCUAAGGCAGAAAUGACAGGGCGUGGGAGCUUGGAGAGGGGUUAUUG
ensembl:lncRNA